rnacentral:lncRNA from 12 species
GGGGGGGGGGGGGGGGGGGGGGGGGGGGGGGGGGGGGGGGGGGGGGGGGGGGGGGGGGGGGGGGGGGGGGGAACACGGGGGGUGAAGCGGAGGAUAGGGGGGGCUCAGGGGGGUGCGCGGGGGCAGAGACUGCCGGGGAUGAAGGGGCAGAAGCACCCAGGGGUGCCGGGGGCGAGGCCGGGGAUGGCGGUGGCGAUGCCGAGGCAGGGACAGCCGGGGGCACCGGAGGGGGUACCGAGGAGGGCCCCGGGGGAGAAGCGGCACCAGCAGCAGCGGGCAACACCCGGCGCCGACAGGAGCCCACUUGGCUUCAGGACGAGGACGACGAGCUGUGGCCUGAGUUCCCUCCCUGCUCGUCCCCAGAGGGGGCCACCAGCCCCACGACCCCCACGACCCCCACGUCCCCUGUAUCCCCCACAUCCCCCACAUCCCCUAUGUCCCCAGCAGCCCCAAAGUCCCCCACAGGUAAGAGCCAUUUGGGCGAUGGCACGCGAGUGUCCUGGGGUCACUGCUGCCCCACAGUGUCCAUCUUCCCCAUGGGAAAGGACUUCGGGCCCCAGGGGUGCCCGGGGGAGUGCGGGUGCCCUCUUCCACCCCUCUGACCCCUCCUCUCUCCUUGCAGCUGGCACCACCGAGGACGCGGGGGGCAGCAAGAGGGCUGCUCCAGCGGGGGGACCACGGGACAAGGCAGCCCCCGGCUCGGCAGGACAGAGGCUGAGGCUGGAGGGGGCCGGGGGACGGCCACGAGUGGGGUCCCGGGCACAGGGGCGCUCUGCCAUCCUGGAGAAAUUCGGAGGGUGAGGGGGGCCUGGCCCCAUGGGGGGCACGGGGGUGGGGGGCAGGAGGGGGGGGGGGGGGGGGGGGG